GCUGAAGAGAAGGAAAAAAAAUUAUCAUCAAACACACUGUUAUCUCAUAGAUUAAAUUAUGCUUCUAUGUUCUACAUAACAUAGUCAUCUCAUUCCAAUAUAAAUGAAAGUACCUGGGCACAAAGCAGCGAUAUCCUACUCAAGUUAAUUAACAAUUCAAUUUCAGUCAAUCUAAUGAAACAAAAGUUUCUGAUUAGCCACAUUGUUAGCAUCUAUGGACUGUAAUUCUUCAAACAAAUGGCUUAUGUAGCGGCCCACAUACCAUUCAUCAAAUACAGACACAAUGAAGUUGAAACAUAUCUAUUUACUACAUAUGGCAUACAAAUGGUCAGAAGCCAAAAUUAAUACUUUCCAAUUGUAUAUUAACCGAAUUUGUCCUGACAUUUUUCUCAUCGUCAUUUCAAUGUAAUUUAAUAUCAUGUCCUCUCGUCAAACACUGCCUGAUGUUCCUCAUUUUUUCAGCACUUUGAGGUUGUGUUUCUCCAAUUUCUGCAUUCAUUUAUCCAUCUCCAUCAUUUUCUACCCCAUCUCCCGAAUUUUCUUCGUUCUCUACCUGGAAAAAGUCACAGAAACCAUCCCAUAAUCAACCAAUGGACCACCAACCAAAACUACAAUAAUUUUUAAGUGGAUACCAAAUAAAAGCAAACAAAACUAUAGGCGACAAAGCAAAAGUAGUUACAAGCAUUGGCUUAAAAUCCACAUCUCUCAUAUGAAAGCAAAGUACGAUUUCCUGUUAAAUUAAUUUAUUUGUGUCUAAAAUUGAAUGUAUUUGAAACAUUUAUUUAUGAAUCAAACAUAAAUGGCCAAGCUUAUAAAAGCAUGUUCCAAAUGCAACUCAAUGUGGCAUACAAAUUUCUUUGUCUUCUCAAGUGUAAUCCAUUGUAACAUAAUAUUUUUCAUAUCAUUUUUCAGAGUUCAAUUCAUAAUAAAUGAAAAUUUAAGUUCAAAAGCGAGCUCAACAAAACUGAACUAAGAACCAAAAAACUCAUAAUUUUAACUACACAGGUCAACUUCGGAAUUUAUCACAUAAUACUAUCUUAUAUGCAAAAAGGCCUGGAAAUAGUGUCAAACUCUAGCUUAUUUACUAAAUAUUAUAAGUGUUUCAUUUUCAAUGCAAAUAAAGGAACAACUAUUUCAGAGGGAACUUCAUACUUUAAAGAACUAAGUUGAGAGUUGUGCAAUUGGUAGGUCCUCCAAUGAAGGAACAAUAGGGUAAUAAUUUGACAUAUUUACUAGCUAACAAAAAAAUCACAAGACACAUCAGUUUUUGAAAAAAAAUACCGUUGUCAUUCAGUACCUUCCAUUUUCUCCAAUUUGUUAAUAUGCAAAUUAUUGUCCAUUCUUGUCCAAAAACAAAACUUACCUUUAUUAACUUUGUAACUUAAAGUCAUGAAUAAAUAACUUGACAUGGCUGAAAUUCAUCAAAAUGAUCAGAAGAGGAAAUUAAAGGGAUAACACAACUAACUUCACUACUUACAAAUGCAAAACUAGGUGUCAUUCUACGAAAUACCUUAUUUUGACAUUUUCCGGUCCGAUAACCUCUCACAAUCCACAUGCCUGUAUAAUAUUUCCCCUAACAUUGUUGGCUUCAUUAAGGAGCAAUGUCACAACCAUUUGCAACCUGUAAACAUGCAUUUUCUC
rnacentral:lncRNA from 1 species